AGGCUGCAGUGCAGUGGUGCGAUCUCGGCUCACUGCAAGCUCCGCCUCCCAGGUUCAUGCCGUUCUCCUGCCUCAGCCUCCCAAGUGGCUGGGACUACAGGCGCCCGCCACCACGCCUGGCUAAUUUUUUGUGUUUUUAGUAGAGGCGGAGUUUCACCGUGUUAGCCAGAAUGGUCUCGAUCUCCUGACCUCGUGAUCCGCCAGCCUCGGCCUCCCAAAGUGCUGGGA
rnacentral:lncRNA from 1 species